rnacentral:rRNA from 1 species
UACGUAGGUGGCGAGCGUUGUCCGGAUUUACUGGGCGUAAAGGGCGCGCAGGCUGUAGAUCAAGUCAGCUGUGAAAUGUCUGGGCUUAACCCGGGCAUGCGGUUGAAACUGAUGUACUGGAGUGCUGUAGAGGCAAGUGGAAUUCCCAGUGUAGCGGUGAAAUGCGUAGAUAUUGGGAAGAACACCAGUGGCGAAGGCGACUUUCUGGACUGUACCUGACACUGAGGCGCGAAAGCGUGGGGAGGCAAACAGGAUUAGA